rnacentral:lncRNA from 1 species
AUUGGCUUUACCCUGUAGUGCCACUGGGCUGGGGCCAGGGGCUGGCUGCCUCCCUCCAUGGCUCUCCUUGCCCCUGGCUGGGCUAUUUCUCGCUCCCCCUUCAGAGCAGCCCUCCCUGCCCUCUCCCUCCAAGCUCUGGCUCUUAAGUCCUCAGCUCUUGGAAGCCUGACUCACUGUUUCCCCUCUUCUCUCCCCUCCCUCCCUCACUCUCCUGGCAGCAGUGCCUCCCCCUCCCCUGAGGGGGGCUCUGGCCACAAGGGUGCCUGCCUGCUCUUCUCCAAUGGGCUCCAGCCCCCCUCUGUGCCAAGGAGGCCCCCUGCAGCUGAUCUACUUCUCCAGCUACAGAGAGGUAGGAUACCAGAGCAGGAGUCCCA